GGGACGCGCCCUCUAGCGACCGGCCGCGGGCCCGUCCGCCGCGUCAGGCGCUCAGGCCGCCGCCCAGACCAGCGCGUGAGGGGACUGGGGCGCAGUCGCCGCCCUGCUUAGGACGCGCGCCUGAGGGCACACGGGGAACUCGAUGGACCUGCUCAGGAGACAUCAACAACCCUCACACGCAUUAGGAAGGCCUCUGGAUUUCCCAGGCAAGAACACUAGAGUGGGUUGCCAUUUUCUUCUCCGGGGAACUUCUUGACCCAGGGAUGGAACCUGUGUCUCCUGCUUGGCAGGCGGAUUCUUUACCCCUAAGCCACCUGGGAAGCCCAAGCAGGGAGCAUUGAACCUUGGAGUCUAGCAAAUCCUGAUCUUAAAAUCUUCAGUGGAGCUGCUGUGAGCAUCUUCCAGUCAACUCAGACCCCAGCUGGAGGGGAUGUCAGCGUAGCUUCAAAUCAAGAGCAGCCUCAGCAUCCUGGGAAAAACCAAGCACUUGUUUGAAUAAACGGCUUUACCU
ensembl:lncRNA